rnacentral:rRNA from 1 species
AGGGCACCACCAGGAGUGGAGCCUGCGGCUUAAUUUGACUCAACACGGGAAAUCUCACCAGGCCCGGACACCGGUAGGAUUGACAGAUUGAGAGCUCUUUCUUGAUUCGGUGGGUGGUGGUGCAUGGCCGUUCUUAGUUGGUGGAGCGAUUUGUCUGGUUAAUUCCGAUAACGAACGAGACUCUGGCCUACUAACUAGACGUUAGAUCCCUUCGUGGGUCUAUCGCAGCUUCUUAGAGGGACGGGCGGCGUUUAGCCGCACGAGAUUGAGCAAUAACAGGUCUGUGAUGCCCUUAGAUGUCCGGGGCCGCACGCGCGCUACACUGAAGUGAUCAGCGUGCAUUUUCAGCCUACUCUGCCAAGAGUGGGAAACCCAAUGAACCUUCUUCGUGAUUGGGAUAGGAGAUUGUAAUUAUUCUCCUUGAACGAGGAAUUCCCAGUAAGCGCGAGUCAUAAGCUCGCGUUGAUUACGUCCCUGCCCUUUGUACACACCGCCCGUCGCUGCCCGGGACUGAGCCGU